GAUGAACGCUGGCGGCGUGCCUAAUACAUGCAAGUCGAGCGAACGGACGAGAAGCUUGCUUCUCUGAUGUUAGCGGCGGACGGGUGAGUAACACGUGGAUAACCUACCUAUAAGACUGGGAUAACUUCGGGAAACCGUAGCUAAUACCGGAUAAUAUUUUGAACCGCAUGGUUCAAAAGUGAAAGACGGUCUUGCUGUCACUUAUAGAUGGAUCCGCGCUGCAUUAGCUAGUUGGUAAGGUAACGGCUUACCAAGGCAACGAUGCAUAGCCGACCUGAGAGGGUGAUCGGCCACACUGGAACUGAGACACGGUCCAGACGCCUACGGGAGGCAGCAGUAGGGAAUCUUCCGCAAUGGGCGAAAGCCUGACGGAGCAACGCCGCGUGAGUGAUGAAGGUCUUCGGAUCGUAAAACGCUGUUAUUAGGGAAGAACAUAUGUGUAAGUAACUGUGCACAUCUUGACGGUACCUAAGCAGAAAACCACGGCUAACUACGU
rnacentral:rRNA from 1 species